ACCUGCAAGACUAAAAAAAGAAUGCUAUCCAGUUCUGUUCUGAGAAAGCACAGGCCUUUCCAGCAGAUGCAUUAAGUGAGAUAAAAACCUUAUGGUUGGAGGAAGAAAAGAAGUUGGGGCCAUUACAAAUGUAACUUCCAAAUAAUCAAUGUCCCAAAGUUUUAAACUUCCCUUUAGAGUUAAGAAGUACUUCAACCGCAGAGUUGAGUAACUGUGGGAGGGAAGCAAUCUCCUAGGGUAAGUACUUUCUUUGAAUGGUUCUGAAGUAGAAGAGAACCUUCUGCUAUAAACAGCUCACUAUGUAAUCUAAUGAAAACACAUCUUCAACAGUACAAUUCACUCCUGGUCUGGCUUCAUUCAUGGAUAGUCUCUCCAGAUGGCAAACUUCUGCUGAGCCCCAAAGUCUCCUCAGAAGUCUUCUCCCCAUUCUCUGGCAGCUUCAGCCAGUCAUUAGUAAUUGGCAUGCAAGAUAAAACCAAUACACCAUCUUUGCGGUAAGGUAUGUCCCCUUUUAUGACCAUCCACGUGAGAGGACUGGACUGCCCUCCCCCUGUGAGAAUGGAAGCCUGACAAGGACGGCUGCCCAGAGCAAGGGUCCCGGCGCACUUGCACACAUGUGGGCCAAGGGAUUGCCUGAGGGCAGGACCAGGAGGCUUCUCCAGAAAAGUGCUUAGACCUGUUCCUCUGCACAGACUGUCAGGGGUCAGGGCCAUAGACAACGGCACAGGCAUUUUGCCUGGGGAGGUUCAAGCCCAAUACUCGCAUUAUUUAUUCAAAGAAACAAGUUCCCCAAACACCAUCACCCAGGCCCACUCAUCUUGUCAUGCAUAUCUUCCUAAAGAACUUCCCAAGAGACAAGGGUUCUAAGACAAAUGCAAGUAAACUGGAAAAGGUGAUUUCUAAGAAACUACAAUUCAGUUAAACAUUGAUGACAAAACGGCCAACUACGGAUCUAGAAGAAUAUACCGGUAGCCUUUUUCUGUGUCUGCUCCUUCCUGUGACAAUAAAACUAUGUCCUGAAUGGAUUAUAUUUCUAGUGGAACAAAAAUUUUAGCUAUCUAAAA
rnacentral:lncRNA from 1 species